rnacentral:lncRNA from 1 species
UUAUUGGUUUAUACUCUCAAGGUUUUCCUCCCUAUCUUCAUCUUCUUUGGUGUUUUCUUCUUCAUCUUGUGCUGAGAUGUCCUUUAAUUAGUGUUAGAUUUUCCAUUCUUUUAUCUAAAGUUCCUACAUCAUCAUCAACAAUAUCUUUCUUUUAUGAUGAGAGAUCAUUAGCCACAUCAAAAAUAAUAUGGAUGGAUUCCUC